UACAGGGGGUGCAAACGUUGCUCGGAAUUAUUGGGCGUAAAGCGCGCGUAGGCGGCCUACUUAAGUCGGAUGUGAAAGCCCCCUGGCUCAACUGGGGAAGUGCACCCGAAACUGAAUGGCUUGAGUGCGAAAGAGGGUCGCGGAAUUCCCGGUGUAGAGGUGAAAUUCGUAGAUAUCGGGAGGAACACCGGUGGCGAAGGCGGCGACCUGGGUCGACACUGACGCUGAGGCGCGAAAGCGUGGGGAGCAAACAGG
rnacentral:rRNA from 1 species